GGCUGACCCCAAGGUAAUGAGUUAUCUCAAUUAAUUGUUCACAGUCAGUUACAGCUCAGUCUCCUUGUUCUCUCUUUUCUUUUUUUCUCACUACUGUACUCAACUAGUCUCAA
ensembl:Y_RNA Y_RNA Y RNA